rnacentral:rRNA from 1 species
GAUGAACGCUAGCUACAGGCUUAACACAUGCAAGUCGCGGGGCAGCAUGGGGGUUGCUUGCAAUCCCCGAUGGCGACCGGCGCACGGGUGAGUAACGCGUAUCCAACCUGCCCUUCACCACGGGAUAACCCGGCGAAAGUCGGACUAAUACCGUAUGUUGUCCAUUGACGGCAUCCGAUUUGGACGAAAGGCUUGGCGGUGAGGGAUGGGGAGGCGUCCGAUUAGCCAGACGGCGGGGUAACGGCCCACCGUGGCUACGAUCGGUAGGGGUUCUGAGAGGAAGGUCCCCCACACUGGAACUGAGACACGGUCCAGACUCCUACGGGAGGCAGCAGUGAGGAAUAUUGGUCAAUGGGCGUAAGCCUGAACCAGCCAAGUAGCGUGCAGGAUGACGGCCCUAUGGGUUGUAAACUGCUUUUAUGCGGGGAUAAAGUGGCCCACGUGUGGGCUUUUGCAGGUACCGCAUGAAUAAGGACCGGCUAAUUCCGUG